rnacentral:RNase_MRP_RNA from 15 species
AAGCACGGCUUCGCAGCGCACAGACAGGGAGAGAACUCCUGAGAAUUGUUGUGAGGAAAGUCCCCGUGCCUUUGGGCAGAGAGUGCCAGCAGGAGACUGCGAGAUGUCGUAA